AUCGCAACAGAUCGGGAAGGAAAAAGAGGGAGCUUUCUUACUUUGAGGGGAAUGUUGUCUGGCUCGAGGUGCGCAGAAACCUGGCGAUGGAGAUCUCAUCGAUCCAGGUUGAUCUCGGACCAGGCUUCAUUCCCCUCAAGUAGAGCUCCCGUUCAGCGCGCGUCGCCGAUCCCCCUCUGCCCCUCUUGUUCAGCUUGCCGCUCUCGCCUCGCAUGGUGAGUUUCUCUCGGUCAUCGAUCUAGCGCGAUUUCCUCUCUUGGCCGGUUUUUGAACAUCCGAUGGCUCUUGUGAUCUACUAGCUAGGUUAUUAUGCCCGCGGCUGCAACCAUGCAUGAUUAGGAUAUGAUUAUCUCGGCGAAUGUUUCCCUUGUGUUGGGUUUCGUGCGAUCUAGCAUGCAGCAGAUUGGUGCAAUCAUGAGCCCGGAUUCUUGACUCUGAAUAACCUGAUGCAGGCUUUCUCCUUUUUUUCUUUAAACUAUGGCAUGGCAUCUUGCUUGUUAGUUGUGGUCUUUGCCCCCUGCCCACUUUUUCCGAGAUCCCUAAUCUGACAGGAGAAAGCUGGGGGAAAAGCUUGUGUAUCAUCGAUGACUUUUACAUGAAGGGAUCUUCUUAUCUUCUCUUUUGAUCCGUACUGUAGCAUCUUUGCCUUUCUCUCUCCUAGACCUUGUAGCUGCGCUAAUCUCUCUUUUCUUCUCAAGAGAUCUCGUUAAAUCCCCAUCUAACGCUAGUCAUAUUGCAUCAAUGUGUAUAGCCAGAUCAAUCCAACCAGUGUUGAUGCUUCCCUAAUUUGAUCUCCACAAAUUAAGAGCAAAGGGAUAACUUAAAAGAUACUGUAUUCGGCCCGAUGUGUGUUUCCGAAUGGUGAAGACGAAGGAGCAUACAACAUGCGAGCAUGAGCUCAUGUGUGUUCUCUGCUUGAUGCAGAAUAAAUACUGCCAUCUACUAACAUCAAUGGCAGAUUUGUUUCUUCGGAAGACCAGGCCAAAAGUUAACGUAUCGAGGUGUGGUUCAUGAGUAGUUGUCUCCUUCCCUUUGUUUCCUCAUACAUCAAAGCAGGACACGUCAUGCACUGCUGAUGAACCUGUCCCAUGGGGGGCAUGGCGCUGUAACUUUGCAAUUCUACCUUCACCCCUGCCAUGUGCUAUACCUUCCAACUAUGUGCACGUUAUCAUGAAACAUUCCAUGAAUGUGUAGUGGUAGAGCCUACACAUACACUGAUACACAACCAUAUAAAGGGCUAUAUCGUAAUGGCGCUUUAUGGGUGUUCUUCAUGUACAGCUUGUAGUGUUAGUAGGAAGUUAUGAUUACAUACGACAUCGUAUGCAUUAUUUGGUUAAUUUAAUUAAUAGUGACAUAUAUAUUGAGAUCUUUCAUGUUGGAAAGGCUUAAAUCACAUUGUUGGUGGCUCAUAUCAGGUGCAAACCAAUCUCUCCGUGUAAACCAUGCAAACUUUAAUCCGAGUCAUCGGAUCAACAUCCAAGGGGAGGGGCAUAGGGGGUGGGAGGGGAGAUUUGCAAAAAUGUGAUUACUCAAUCCAAGGGCGGACGAUUAAUUGUAAAAUUACUCAAUUCCCCACACCCCUUGGAUGUUGAUCCGGUGGGCCAGAUUGAAGUUUGCACAGUUUGCGCGGAGAGGUUGGUUUACACCUGAUAUAUUCCCCACUUAAUUAUAUGCAUGAUACAACUGCCCAAAUUCCAAAAGACAUGUUAGUAACGGCACCCUACAAAUGGGUUUUGCUUAAGUUGUUUCUCGAUCAUAUUCUAUGUAUAUAUCUGAUGUUACUAUUCUUUUGCUCACAAAUGUUGACACGCAUGCAGCUCACCGGUAUGUUAAUGCACAAAAGGAAGCAGUAUAUAUACUCUUUUAAUAUUUGCAUCUGAUCGACUGGCGCCGCAUGUUAAUGCACAAAGGACGAAGAUUUUAAUAUACUAUGCAGGUAACUUGUUGUCAGGCGGCACAGCCAGCUGGUUAACUUUUUUUACAGGUCAGGACCGAGGACGUUUGAGGUUUGAACUUUGAACUCAACAAGUUCAUGUGCAAUGUUGAUUAGCAGUGGUGUCCUUUUGAAGAAGGGACAGAGGCCAGCAGGAGCCAACAGGCAACACAAAUUGGAGAAGCAGUUGAGCAAUACAGUCACGUGCAUGCAAUGGAAUUAUCCUUUUUAAGUGUGUGCAUCAAGUACCAUUGUCUUGUUGGAGACUUGUAGGAGGUGACAUGGGGCAGGAUAUAAUAAUUAGGUGUACCAAAACCAUAAAGUGAGCUAAGCAUAGCAAUGGUUUAGGUGUCCAGUGUCCUUGUUCUGUACACCGUACUAAAAUAUAUACUCCCUGGUGGGAAUUGGUGUUUCAGGCUUCAUACCUAUCUAUCCAUGGAUGCAAAUUUAUGUCUACAACAUAUACAUUGGUUAAUUAGAACUCUGAAUCAAAGAGGAUAAUAAAGUUUCUCAAUCCAAA